UUUGCAGCUUGUUUCUAUCUCUCUUACCCUGGCAGACUCGAAGGUGCUUUGUCAAGGCCGUGGUUUGGAAAGUGUUAAGCAAAUUUGGCCAAGGCCCAUAGAUGCUCCUGUAGCUCAAGGCAGGAAGAGCAACAACAUUUAAUGAGAUUUUCCCUCAGGAAUGGUGAGGAAGAGAGAACCUUUCUGGAGCUGAACACUGCCAUAGUCUGCAUUGCUACAAAACUAAACUGAAGUUCAAGGUAACAGAGCUGUGGAAUACCUGCCAGGAGAAGUUAUGGAUGCAAGAAGUUUAAUGAUGUCAGGAGAGGAUGGUGAGAAUUUAGAAGAGGUGUCCUGGAUGAAAAAGUUGCCUUCACUCUUUUAAUGGCUGCUCUGGUUCUUUUCCUUCUAAUUAUUUGCCAGCACCAGAAUGUGUUGCUCUUGAACAGUCAUCUCUACAGAUUCUUUGGAGACCCCAAAAC